rnacentral:rRNA from 1 species
AAAUUGAAGAGUUUGAUCAUGGCUCAGAUUGAACGCUGGCGGCAGGCCUAACACAUGCAAGUCGAACGGUAACAGGAAGCAGCUUGCUGCUUCGCUGACGAGUGGCGGACGGGUGAGUAAURUCUGGGAAACUGCCUGAUGGAGGGGGAUAACUACUGGAAACGGUGGCUAAUACCGCAUAACGUCGCAAGACCAAAGAGGGGGACCUUCGGGCCUCUUGCCAUCAGAUGUGCCCAGAUGGGAUUAGCUUGUUGGUGAGGUAACGGCUCACCAAGGCGACGAUCCCUAGCUGGUCUGAGAGGAUGACCAGCCACACUGGAACUGAGACACGGUCCAGACUCCUACGGGAGGCAGCAGUGGGGAAUAUUGCACAAUGGGCGCAAGCCUGAUGCAGCCAUGCCGCGUGUAUGAAGAAGGCCUUCGGGUUGUAAAGUACU